rnacentral:rRNA from 1 species
ACUCCUACGGGAGGCAGCAGUGGGGAUAUUGCACAAUGGGCGAAAGCCUGAUGCAGCGACGCCGCGUGAGCGAAGAAGUAUUUCGGUAUGUAAAGCUCUAUCAGCAGGGAAGAAAAUGACGGUACCUGACUAAGAAGCCCCGGCUAACUACGUGCCAGCAGCCGCGGUAAU